UCGCCUUUCUGACUACUGGGGAAUAGCUGCAUCUUUUCUUUCUGGAGCUACUAACUUUUCUACUUCUUUUAAGAAUUGCCGCUUCGUGCCUUCAGCUCCCAAGAUUAAGAACUCCUCCAUCCAUCGCCCCUCCUCCAGCCUCCAUUUCAUAUACAGUCUGAUCCUCGGCUGCUGUGUACAAGAGAAGGGGAGGGGCAGAGAAAAGUAGAGAAGAAUGUCAAGCAGGCUCCUGCUGCCAGCGCCAUGCCAGAUGCAGGAUUCCAACUCAGGAACUGUGAGAUCAUGAACUGAGCCAAUGCCGAGAGUCAGAUGCUUAACCGACCGACCAAGCUGCCCAGGGAGUAUGGCCUGAGUUGCAAAAGAUGAGUCCGCAAACAAAGUGCAGUUAAGUGAAGGUUCUCAUACUCGAGUUGGAAUGAGUCCUGGACUCCAGAAUGAAGCUUCUUUUUAUUAGGAUAAUUGCUAAAGACUACGUGCAUAAAGUCAGCUAAGCAAGUGUGUUAAUCAAUCUAAUGGUUUAGCUUUUCAAGGUUGAAUUUCUAGUUAAUUGGUUUCUAUAACACUAGGAAAGGUCAGGUGUGAAGGAGGAUCCAGCCCUGGACAAUGUUAAUGGCUCUAGGCGUUCCUUAUGAGCCUCAGCCCAGCUGUUCAGUUGUGUAAACAUGUCCUAAGACCUUGAACCUUCUCCAGCCCUUCCCUUUUGAAGUCUUUCCCUUUGAUGCUUCUAUCCUGCAUCUCCCACAUUUAUAUACUUACAUUUUAUAUUUAAUAGUCAUGUAUUAAUAAUAUUUAGAAAAAUGAGACAAACCUUUGAAAACAUGGAGAAGAAAUAAAAUAUCCUACAAAUAUAAGUCAACCAUAUAUUUAUUGGAACGGAAAUGUUACAAAAUGUAACUUGCACAGGAUCUAAUUAAAAAAACUAAUGUGUGUGUUGGGGUGCCUGGGUCGCUUAGUCAGUUAAGCGUCUGACUUUAGUUCAGGUCAUGUACUCACAGUCCGUGAGU